GUUUGUUUUACUUUCAAGCAUAUGUGAGGAAAAACCUUUUUUUGGUUAUAUUAAAUUAUUUAUUGAACUCAGUCCCUCAUUUCUGGCUCCUACUAUAAAACCUUACAAUCCAUGAUUGCUGCUUCUGCACUUUUCAAAAUGUCUCUCCUCUUCUAUAUUUCAAUAGUCAUUCAGUUUCAUGUGUUCUUCAAUAAUUGACUUUAAAAAUGAAUUUAAUAAGCUUAUGGGGAUAAUCUUGAAAAGAAUUCAAUUACUUUUAUGUCACGUUGCCCUCUUUUAAACUGAUACCGGUUUCAUUUAUGCGAUCUCAUUCACAGCAGAGGAAGAGGAUCUUCAUCUCUAUUAUGCAUCACUGUUUGCUCUCCCUGACAGCAGCAGCGGGACAAAGCCGCAGAUUGUUGCACCUGAACCGUGCUUUGUCAUACAAAUCUUGGAUGAGGUGAGAAUUUGAAUAUGUUUUAUAUGAAAGGAUUUUACUUAAACUUCGAUUACACACAUAGACAAUACCAGCAGGGAGGGGUAAGACAUGUAAACUUGCACAGGUUGUCAAAGCAUGUGGUUUUCUUUUUUCCCCCUCCAGCAUUGUGUUAAUUUUGCUGACUUGUAGGCUGACAAUCUCUAUUUUCUCUAUUAUUUUUCCAGACAAACAUAAACACGACUGGAGAACAUGCCCAACAGCAGAAGACAGAGAACAGAAUGCAAGUACUAAAUAAAAUAUCAUGGAUUGGAAAUUUAUUUGGUUGUUUGAUUGAGUCUUACCAAAACAUGAAUGCAAUUUUCUGCUGAGAAAAUGCUUACCCUAUCUUUCCAUUUUUUUCAUUGGCUUUAAUAACAGAAUAGACUGUCGUAGGGGGCAUUUGCACAGCAGCUGAGCGUAGACAACUGAGUUGUAUGCUUUUCACAACAGGGUUUCACUGGUUCAUCAGAUCUCUGAGACGGAGAAGAGUUUGGAUUCCAAAGCUGCUCAGUCAGGUUCCUCCAGCGCCAAACGCUCUUCUUCCUUUGUAAAACAGCCACCCAAACAGUCCGUCACACCAAGACAACACCAAACAGGAAGGAAGCUCAAGCCUUCACAACUGCAGGAUACAGCUCUUGAGUACAGCAGGUCACACAUCUUCAAAGAACAUCUCCCACUUCUGACAGCAGGACCUUCUUCCCUAAGAUCUACUUUCACAAUCUCACCACCAAGAUCCAUUGAGUCUACCUUGCUGCCCAACAUCUAUUUCCUACCCCAACAGAUAAGAUCUGAAUCGUCCUUCUUCCAAGAACCAGCCUCUCCUGCAAAGCUUUUGGAAGCAGCUCGAGCCAACCUUACGUCCCCAAACCCUGUUCAACAUUUUAAAAAUCAACUUUUGAAAGAUCAAUUCUCAUCUGGGUCCCGCAUGCCUGCCAGAGUACACCUAACUCCCACUACCCCUGAACCAGUUCUACCAAUAAGUGAUCCUGUACCAUGUCAGUUACCCAUAGGACUCUUCAGUAAAUCCACCCCUAGAUGUGAAGAGUCUCCUGUUUUUACAUCAUCUACCCACAUUUCUGGUGACUUAACAACAAACCACUCAAGACAGAAUACAGAGUGCAUCAUAUCACAUUUCUCAAAAAUCAACACUGUCAAAAUGGAGGAAAACUUGGAACUGUCAGUAGACAGUGGAGAUGAAAUGUCCAGUGAUAGCCUGAGUCUGGCUUUAUUUGAAGAAGACUCCUCGGGCGAGGAAACACAGAUCCAAGGACAUUUAGCAACAAAGAAACUGAAGGAAAAGCAGAGCUCUGCGAGUUGUUUUCAAGAAGACUCCUUUAUUCCUGCAGAGCCUGAAAAAGAGAAGGAUCUGCUUUCGGAUAAGCCCGAACGACAGCCCGAACUACUCAUGGCAGUUGUAAACUAA
ensembl:lncRNA